rnacentral:rRNA from 1 species
CCCUGCAGGUCAGAUCAGGUAAUGUACCUGAAACUAAGCAGGUUUGGGCCUGACCAGUACUUGAAUGAGAGACCAUUGAGGAAAGUGGGCUGCUGCUGGAA